rnacentral:tRNA from 1 species
GGCAGCGUAGCUCAGGGGUAGAGCGAAGGACUCAUAAGCCUUUGGUCGUGGGUUCGAUUCCCUCCGCUGCCAC